rnacentral:lncRNA from 1 species
UCAUGGACUUCAGAGGCAGCAUAGGUCCUAGAUCAAUAUUGUCAACCAACAGCCUGAGUUUCCCUACCUAUCUAUUCCUGAGAAUGGGAUCUGUCCUCAUUUCCCUGGAAUCUUUCCUUUUUUUCCCCCUAGUUUUGGGACUCCCCCAAAUAACAGGACCAUGGACCUAAAAGUUUCAAAUGUCCAUCCAUAUAACUUUGAUUUUUGAACGGAACCAUAUGGCUUCGGAACCACUCUACUUAUUUUUUCCUGACUUAUAACCUCCCUUUCCUGAUAUCUUUGCAUCAGUAUAGGAUGAGGGGUGCCAGAAAUUGCUGUCCUUUACAAUAUAAAGGAGGAUUUAAGUAGUUCUUUUCAUAAAGUGAAAUUACUCGUUUGUUUUGGGGAGUAUCUGUUGUUCUUUCCCCCAAAAGUGACUGCAAGUUUUGUUUUGUUUUGUUUUGUUUGCCAAGGUUCAUUUUCUGCUCAUAAUGAGACAAAGCAUUAGUAAAAAGUGUAGACUUACAUUUUUCAAAAUGUACUUUAGUAAGUGUACUUAAAAGUUAUAACCUUUCUUCUAGCCCACCACCCACCAGAGGUAGUGGAAAGGAAAGGUUAGUAGGGCAAAGGAGAACGUGGACCUGUUUAGAAAUAGUUCUUUGGAGUGAAUCCAAUCUAUAUUAUCAAGGAGUCAGCAGUUCAGUUCACACAAAUCAGCAGCAGUAGCUCGAUCAACUCAUAAACACCAUUCACGAAUCAGCAAUGGGAGUUUGAUCCAGAAGAAACCAUGAGGUUCUGCCAAUUGGCCUGGGGCCAUGAAAUUAGCAAGAAGCUGAUGGAACAGAACCAGAAGUUCUUUGGUGCAUUUCUCUCUAUGAAGUCAUGAAAAACAGUGGUCAGCAAAGAGUGGCAAGGCAAACCAAUACCACACAGUGUUCUCCACUGUCUGUUGGGUUAUAUUUAUGCCCUUUUCAAACAUCACAUGUUUUCUCAAGUGUCCGCUGUAGCAAAACAUCACAUGCCUCCUUUUCAGGUAGCUUCCAGAAAAACACCAUGUUUGUGUUCUCAGCCAAACAUCCUCCCAUGUGUCCGCUUCAGCAAAAACAUAAGAUAGCCCCCCCAUCUUAUGACACAGCUGACUCUCCAAAGAAGCUAGAACAUUUCACUUUAUGUCCCCCUUUCUGUUUAAAAAAAAA